GGUUGAACCCCACUUUUCCCUUUGGUUUGUUUCUUCCUGAUUGAGUACAUAUACUCAUCUUCUCCAAAAUACCAGGGAAAGGCGCGCAUAAUUUCGAUUCCAGCAAGAACACACUCCUUCACUGAAUAGGCACGAACAUACAAUUUUCAUUGAAGACCACACUCAUGCACAGCAAAAGAGAGAGAGAGAUUAAGAGGUCAAGGAGAGAACAGACCAGAGAAAACAUCAAAACAGAAAAGAAAAACUCAAAAAUGGAUUAGAAAUAGGAAGGGAAUGAUAUGACAAUGAGCAGUUUCUGAUUGGGUCUGGCCGAAAAUUUCAAGUUUUGCCGAAAAAUGCAAAAACCUGGUUCGUUUGGUAUUCGUUGUUGGUUCGGGGAUUUAGAUUUCAGUUCAUCUUAACUCGUUCGUUGAGUUCAGUUUUGGGUUUCAAUUCCUCAAACUGAGUUGGAUUCUUGAUCGGAUUGAGGUUUCUUGUUCGAGGUUUUCGGUUUCGGAUUUCUCUAUUAUCAAUGAAAAUGAGUUCCAUUGAGGGAAUGCCCCGAGAGAUUUGUAUUGAUUCAUCCGGGGAAUGCCCCGAAGUAUCAUGUACUUGAAGAAGGCACACGAUCAAGGCCUGGAACAUCAGGUGGAGAAAGCAAUGGAGCAUAGUUAGGAUUAGUUUAGAACAAGACAGGUUUAUAUUUUCUCAUUUUUCAUUUUUCCGGGAUUGUAUAAUUGGACUGGUCUUUAAAUUUUGGAUUGUUUUGUCUUGU